GCAAUUUCAAAUACACAACAGUUGACUGUCUCUUCAUGCGAAAGGUUGAUCAAACAUAUCUUGCAUACAACAACCCAGAAACUGGACCCAAUGUAGCCAACGAAGAAGACGAUAUAUGUCAAUAUGUUAAGGGUACAGAUUGCAUGCAAAUGUCCCUUGGCAUUCAGUUGACAAUAUUUUUAUACCUGUCAACAUUAAAGAGGAUAAUCAUUGGAUUUUAGUCGUACUCUCAUUCAAUGACAGGCGACUUUAUGUGUACAACUCAUACCGAGGCAGCGCAGGCCACAAUGCCGUUGUUAGAAAGGAAGUACAAAAGCUUGUUGCCCUCCUGCCACAUUAUCUACACAUAAGUGGAUUCUACACUCAAAAAACUGGCAUAAAUUGGCAGAAUCAUCCAGCUAAUAUGGACAUGACACAGAAUGAGAACCUUCAAGUGGAGUAUGUAGAAAAUUUGCCGCAGCAAGACACCACCAGCAUGGAUUGUGGUGCAUACAUAGCAGCGUUUGCUGAAUAUCUAAGCACUGGUGAAGGUAUCCCAGCACAAAUCGAUACAACAAUGAUCCGCACUAGGUAUGGCGCACUCCUUUGGGACUAUGCUGCACGGAAGAUCGAUGAACAUGCUAUGAGCGACAUUGAGGCGCCACCAAAACAAGUUAGGCGCAAAAGUGGAUUAUGGCAAAGUCGACGAAUUGAUAUUACUUA